rnacentral:rRNA from 1 species
UAAAACGUAGGAGGCGAGCGUUAUCCGGAGUUACUGGGCGUAAAGCGCGUGUAGGUGGUCUGUUACGUCUGCUGUGAAAGAUCCCGGCUUAACCGGGAGAGUGCGGCGGAUACGGGCAGACUGGAGGGUGACAGAGGAGCGUAGAAUUCCGGGUGUAGUGGUGAAAUGCGUAGAGAUCCGGAGGAAUACCAGUGGCGCAAGCGGCGCUCUGGGUCGCACCUGACACUGAGACGCGAAGGCAUGGGGAGCGAACGGGAUUAGAAACCCCGGUAGUCCAUGCAGUAAACGAUGCCGACUGGGUGUGGGAUACGCAAGUAUUCUGUGCCGAAGCCAACGCGCUAAGUCGGCCGCCUGGGAAGUACGGUCGCAAGACUA